CUACUUAUGAAUUGUUGUUCCCACAAAGGCGGAACGAUACGAAGAAGAUUAGCAUGCCCCCUGCGAAAGGAUGACAAGCACAAAUCAGAGAAAUGCUUUAAAUUAUU